UUCAUCGCGGGGAUAAUCAAAAAGCGAGCGACACCUGCUAUACCUCGCGACGCGUAAAACAGCAGCAGAUCUAAAUUCAUUAUACAUAGGCGCACAGUCGCGCAAACAGCAGUAACGUGUGAUUCGUCGCUCGUUACACGGCGAGUAACGAGAAAACGUGCUCGUCUAAAAAUUAAUAAUACAGAGCUCGCGGUAAAUCCCCCGGAGAAAGCCGCAGUGAGAGAGAAAGAAAAGGGCGCAGCAGCAGCGCAUCCGCGCAGGGAUCGAUGAACAGAAAGCCAAACUCACGCGUCGUCCAAACCCCCUGACCACAUUGACCUGCCCAGGUCCGCAUCUCGGGAAUCUCGCGCGGAGCUCGCGCGCAGCGUCAUUAUGCGCAAAACGCCCCCACGCACGUAUACCAGAGAGAAAGAAGGCUAUAUAUACGCAUAGUCGGUCCUUGGCAUCAGAGCUGCUAUUCCGCUCGAACGGCUGCAUAAUUCCUCUCGGCGCAUCCGAGCUCGAGGUAAUACGCUAAUAUUCUGUAUACGUAUAUGCAGGAGGAACGGGAGGGAAACUUGCGCUGUAUACUCGACUCGUGCACGUUAUUAGGCGUCGCUGGAACGGGCAAGAUUGGCUGCGGCUCAUUCGCUAAUGACGCGACGCUCGGGAAUGUAAAAUCGGCUCUCGUUGAUUAAAAAGCUCCCGAGUAGUUGGCUUAUUUUGGCCCGGAGCAUAUAGAGAAAAAUAAGUAGACAACGUGCGUCAUUUGAAAAACAGCUGAAAGUCGAUGAAAAUAUUUACGCGCUCGAGGCCUUGCGUAACCUCUUUCCGCGAUGGACACGUCAGGGGCCGAAGCGCCCCAAGGCGAAGCGAUAGCCGACUCGCCGGACAACAGCGAGAAUGACGACGAUCUGACCUGCUGUCGGCGCGCGACCUGCUGCUAUCCCUCUCUCCGGGACGUCCUGGUGACGGAGCCGGUGAACGAGCGCUUCUGCGGGCCGUUCACCUACGCCAACCUCUUCUGGCUCAUCACCGUCCUGGCUAUGCUCCUCAUGAGCUACGCCAGCCUCUACUUCUACAUCGGCGAUCCUCUGCUACCCGGAGGCAGCAUCUUCGGCCUCUUCGCCGUCGUCGUAUUUGCCUACUUCCUCGGCUGGACUCUGGCCUACCUGCCCUAUUUGAAUCUGCCGCCGGUUUUCGGGAUGCUUCUGGCCGGGAUCGUGGUGCGCAACCUCGAUUGGUACGACAUCCGCGAGUCUCUGGGCACAGGCGUGAGCUCGAAGAUCCGCACGUUCUCGGUGACGUUCGUAAUGCUGCGCGCGGGUCUGCAGCUGACCUCGUCCGCUCUGCGAGAGCAUCCGCUCUUCGUGCUCAAUCUCGCGGUCGUGCCCUGCACCGUCGAGAUGCUCACCGUCGCCCUCUGCUGCCGCUGCUUGCUCGACUACCCCUGGGCUUGGGCUUUUCUCACCGGGAGCAUAAUCGCGUGCAUAUCGCCGGUAGUGCCGGUCAACUGCAUACUGGCCUUAGCCGAGCGCGGCUACGGCGAGGACAAAGACAUGGCGACGCUGCUAUUCACCGCCGCCUCAAUAGACGACAUCCACAUUGUCUCGGUGUACGCCAUUUGUUUUGCCUUUAUCUUUACCCACGAUGAUCAGCCGGUGCGCUGGUGGUCCUACGUGCCGGGAAGCUUGCGAGACCUGCUGAUGGGAGUGACUUGCGGCGCAGCUCUGGGACUGUUCUUCGUCUUCUUCCCCCACCGGAGACACAAAUACGCACUCUGGUACCGGGUCUGCGGCCUCGUGCUGGGCUCGCUCAUGUGCACGAGCGGCGCCUCGAAGAUAGCGAUAACGGGCGGCGGCUUCCUGGCCACCAUCAUCAUGUCCCUGAUCGCCACUACGGGCUGGCGCGUUCUCAGCGUGCCCUUCGACGUAAAGCCGCUGCGCAAAGCCGUGCACAUAAUGUGGCACUUCAUGCAGCCGCUCCUCGUGGGCGUCAUCGGCGCCGACAUCGAUUUUCGCAACUGGUCCCUCGCCAGGUUCGGGCUUUACAUUCUCUGCAUCGCCUUGGGCCUUUUGAUGCGCACUGCCUUCGCAUACCUGGCCACCCUCCACGCCCCCUUCAACGUGAGAGAACGAGUCUUCGUCGCCUUGUCCUGGCUAUCGAAGGGGACGCUCCAGGCAGCCCUGGCGCCGAUGACGUUCGAGCAAGCGCGCCAGAACGACGAUCCGACGGAAUUGGCACUGGCUAUAGACGUCGUGCGGAUGUCGGUCGUCUCGAUAGUGUUCCUGGCGCCGCUGGGGGCAAUAAUCAUGAUGCUGACCGGGCCGCUGCUCCUCGGCAGGACCUCCGACGAGGAGCACCGCAGACGCCGCGAACUUAGCUAUCUCAGGAUCUUGAGCCUUCAGCCGCUCAGAAAACGACGCAGCACCGCUAUACGUGAGCUCUGACCGACGGCAGGAGGCGCGAUAACGCGACGAAUCUGCUCUAUUUUCUGCCCUCGCCUCGGGACGCGAUGGCGUAUCAAUUGGUCGAAUUCUUUUGGGGUAGCGUUAUUUCUGACCUGGACAUAAGUACAAAGCAGGUAUGCAGACGCCUAAUGGUAUUUACCCGAUGCGCACCAGUGGGCGGAAUUGGCACUGGCUAUAGACGUCGUGCGGAUGUCGGUCGUCUCGAUAUUGUUCCUGGCGCCGCUGGGGGGGCGAUAAUUAUGAUAUGCUGACCGGGCCGCUGCUCCUCGGCAGAACCUCCGACGAGGAGCACCGCAGACGCCGCGAACUUAGCUACACCGAGAGAAAUGUUGAGUUGGAUUAACCGAAAAUUCCGGCAGUUUUUAGCACUACCGCUGUUUUUACCUGGCACGCGUGGAGGAGCCAAGCUUGGACUACUGCAAACUCCGGUAGAAUCUGCCUGAGUCUACCGCUAAAACAGCCGCUCAGAAAACGACGCAGCACCGCUGUACGUGUGCUAUGACCGAGGGCAGGAGGCGCGAUAACGCGGCGAAUCUGCUCUAUUUUUUUCCCUCGCCUCGGGACACGAUGGCUUGUUCUUAGCUUUUAUUAAAGGAACGAAUACUUGUU